AUCAGUACUGCCAGUAGCAGCUAUCCCAUGGUCUUCACGUAGUUGGGAGACUCACUAAGACGAAGCUCAGUGAAAAUUUCAGGGCUGUGCUGUUUAUUAUGGUCUGCUAUGGUAUGAUCACCCACCACUUCUGGUUUACACCUAUAUCAAAUUCCAACAGCUGCUGAGCCUGAGUAAGUCAUAAAUAUAAUGAACUUUGACAUGACUGAAGGAAAGUUAAUUUGAAUUAUAUCAUCUCAGCAAUACAUCUCCUUGAGAAUUUUAGAAUAAAAACAUCCUCAACAAAUCUAUAGACAACAUGGCAAUUUUAUAUACCUCUUGUGGUUUUCAAAUCAUUCUUCCCUCCAAGGCCAAUUGUGAUGAGGGUGACUCUAUGGGUUAUGUCUUUUAUUCCAUUGAAGGCAAGUUAUCAUAAGGCUAGUUACCAGAGGAAAGUUACCACCAAGGAGAUGAAGAGCAUGUGCUUCAAUGAAUGACUGUGUUAACAGUGUGUUAAUCAGAACAAGUACUAGGAAAAGUGGGAAUUUAAAUGUGGCACAAAGGCCAAGGCAUGCACCAAUGUAAAUUUAGAAAACUGUCGAGAAAAUAUGUAUGGUUACUGCUGGAAAUAAUUCUUCAGCCAAUUUGGUAAAACUCUAAGUGUUAAAGUGAUGAGAGAUCCAAUGGGAAAUCUCUAGAGUUUGGCUGUGAGUUAUAAAGUUCAUAAGAAUGCCAAAAAGGCCAAAGAAAAAAUAAAAGUAAAAUAAAUUAGUUGCAAAAUCAUAUGUGGGGUUGGAUCUAAAGGAAAGUUGAACACAUAGAAAACUGAGUUAAAACAAACUUUUAAGUCCUGAAAAGGCAGAGAAUUAGCCGGUGUAGGAAGCUGAGUCUCAAAAUUAAGGAUCUUGAUAACUCUAUGGAAACAAAAAGUUAAGAAAGGCAUUUUCUGCUUAUAGAUUAAUAACCAGUAUUGGAGGAGAGAAACAUAGCAAUUCAGAUCUGUUUCCCUUCUCCCCCAGCAGAGAGGAUGAAAAUUGGCCAUUGUGUAUACCUCCCCAGACUCACUGUAUACCUCCCCAGAGGAAGUUAGAGAAUAAGAUUGACCUGAUCAACUGGUAUAUUCAGCUAUGGCUGGAAAGAGAGAGUUCCCAGGCAAUCCCAUUAUUAACUGUGCUGGUGGCUACUUUGUGCAGAUUCCCUAUAGGCUCAGAACAGACCUCCAUAUUAUUCCCUGAUAGUCUGAUUCAAAUGAGAUCCCAUAUUUCCUGGUAGGAGAACAUGGUUAACAAGGUGCCGUAUGCCAGUCUGAGCCACACUCUCGACACCUGACCUCUCAACAAAUGGUGCUGCAGCCUCUUGUGGCCUCCCCGUUAUUGCUCACACCAUCAAUCCCUCUGUGGUAUAAAACGGAACCAUCCAGUAUGUGCUCCAAAUCCUAGGCUGUGACUCUGCCUGAUGCCCCCAGCUUGGGAUACAAACUCCACAGACAUCAUAAUCUACAGCUGAAACACAGGUAUAAGAGGCUUUGGACAUUUCCAGGCUGCCUCAGCACUCCUUCAAAAGCAAAAUCAAAGAAUAAGAAAAUGUUUAUCCUGACCAUCCAAACCAUGCAUAUAAGGUUGAAUGGAAAGAUUUGGGAAUAGUGCUGAGAUGAAUGACUUGGAAUUGCUACACCUGCUGGAGUUUAUUCCACUCCAAAAUGUCUUUAUUCCAUCAGGAAGGGAACUGCCCUGGAAAUAGGUGCUGUUACUGGGGCCAUCUCUUAG
rnacentral:lncRNA from 1 species